rnacentral:rRNA from 1 species
AACGAACGCUGGCGGCAGGCCUAACACAUGCAAGUCGAGCGAAGCCUUCGGGCUUAGCGGCGGACGGGUGAGUAACGCGUGGGAACGUGCCCUUUGGUACGGAAUAGCCCCGGGAAACUGGGAGUAAUACCGUAUGUGGUCGAGAGACGAAAGAUUUAUCGCCAAAGGAUCGGCCCGCGUUGGAUUAGGUAGUUGGUGGGGUAAUGGCCUACCAAGCCGACGAUCCAUAGCUGGUUUGAGAGGAUGAUCAGCCACACUGGGACUGAGACACGGCCCAGACUCCUACGGGAGGCAGCAGUGGGGAAUCUUAGGCAAUGGGGGAAACCAUGAUCUAGCCAUGCCGCGUGAUCGAUGAAGGCCUUAGGGUUGUAAAGAUCUUUCAGUGGGGAAGAUAAUGACUGUACCCACAGAAGAAGCCCCGGCUAACUCCGUGCCAGCCGCCGCGGUAACAC